UUUCAGAGGCAUAUUGCUACAUUUGGGGCAAUGCAUACAUAUGUGGUUUCGUUAGCUCCAGCGGGGGCUAAUCCUCUGACAGAGCCACCUCUCACACGAAACACUGAAUGGAGGCGAUCCCGAGAUGGAUGGAGCAGCAGCAGCGCAGGUUGCUGCAGCUGUGCUGCCAGAGAUUGUAAUUCAGGAACCAAUCUCAAGCUGAGCAGAGGAAAAAAUGAGAUGCUUCAUGAAAAUGGCCAAAUGUCAUCACCAGCUAUUUUGUGAGAAGAGCUAUGUUAGGAGCCAUCCACAUGUAAAAUGGACUUUGACCAAAUUCCAUCCAUCUGCAGGUCAUGGAAGCUCACAACAUGUAUGUCUCCUGAGGGAGCCUUUUUGUUUUGUGCUUUUUCUGGCACUAAGAAAUGCAGACACUUGUGAUUUACUACUGGGCACUUAUAGGAAUGGAGUCAACUAUUUCCUAAGAAACUCAAAGACUGAAAUGAGAAAUUCAGAAAAUAAAAAUAUUUUCUGUGUUAGAAAACUAUAUACCAGAAAGCCUGAAAAGUGAGGCAAAGGGCACAGAAAUUCUGGUUAAUAAGAUGUUGUAGAUUAGUGAGAACUUGAACAUGUUUUUGCUUCCAGUAUAUUUUUUGGAAUUUCUAAACUAUAUUAGUUCCCUUUCUUGCCUUAGGAAUUACAGUACUGUGAUCAUGUGAGAAAAGAUAGUUCUAAAUAUUAAUAAAUAUUUUUAACUUCAUCAAAUACAUCU
rnacentral:lncRNA from 1 species